rnacentral:rRNA from 1 species
GGCGAGUGAAGCGGGAAGAGCUCAGACUGAAAAUCCCUCGGGAGUUGUAGUCUCUAGACGCGGACCCAAACGGUAGCACGGGCGUAAGUCCUCACGAGCGAGGCGCCAGGGAGGGUGAGAGCCCCGUACCGCCCGAGCUGCCAAACGGACCAAAGUCGACGAGUCGAGAUGCUUGGGAGUGCAUCUCUAAGUGGGUGGUAUGUCCCAUCUAAAGCUAAAUAUUGGCAAGAGACCGAUAGCGAACAAGUACUGUGAAGGAAAGAUGAAAAGCACUUUGAAAAGAAGGUUAAAAGAGCUUGAAAUUGCUGAAAGGGAAGCGAUUGGCUCCAGUACGGCCUCUGAUGUGUUCGCACUAGGGUGGCCGGUCAGCAUCGGUUCGGACCGCGCGAGAGCUCCUCGAGGAAGGUGCCGUGCCCCUGCUCCGGCAGGGAAGCAUGGGUUAAGCCUCGGGGGUGGCGGUGUGGUCUUGACCGAGGGAAGCGCAGCGCUUACGUCUAUAGGCAAGGGCGUCUUAGGAACGCGUAUUCAUACGCAAUCCGGGCUCCUGGACCCAACGGGACGCGCGUUGCGAAGAUGUUGACGAAAUGGAGUCCAUUGACCCGUCUUGUAACACGGACCAA